rnacentral:lncRNA from 1 species
CCGGAGACCAUUUGGGGCCUGGAGACGCCAUCGGAGGGCAGGAGCUGAUCCUGGAGAGGCCACCGUGAGGCCUGACCUGGGCCUGGGGAGCUUGGCUUGAGGAAGCUGUGGGCCGACCAAGGCCGCCAGGAGAUGCGCAGGCGCUGAGUCCAAAGAGGUUGUUGGGAGGCAGCAGUCGGGCCUGGAGACGCAGCCGGGAGGAAGAGCUGGGCCCGGAGAGGACGCCGGGAGGCUGCAAGUGGGUCUGGAGAGGCCGACUUGAGGAGGCCCGGCCUCUGCCUCCCGCAUGGCGGCCUCUGCAGGCCCAGCUGUUCCUCCUGGCUGCAUCUCUCGGCCCAGCUCCUGCCUCCCAGCAAGCAAGCUCUUUUGGCUCAGCUCCCGCCGGCGUUUGUAGACCCCGAAGUUUCUGCAGCCAAGCUCUUCAGGCCCACAUCCUGCCUCCCAGUGGCCUGUACAGUCCCAGCUCUGGCAGCAGAAAGCAUCUGCAGGCCCCGCUGUUGCCUCCCAGGGGCGUCCCUAGGAGGCAAGAGCGGGGCCUGCAGAGGCUGUUCUACAGCCAGAGCUGGGCCUGUACAGGCCACCGAGAGGCAGUAGGCGGGCGCGAAGAGCUUGGCUCGAGAAAGUUCGGGGCCUACAAAGGCGGCUGGGAGCUG